GGCGAUUUGGAGCCUGGUAACUCCACCACCGUUGGCGAUUCUAAGCUGCCAAUGGGAUUGGAGUUCCCUUGUGCCGAUCGUU
rnacentral:pre_miRNA from 1 species